CUGCUGCCGCUGCUCCCCCGGCCUCUGUCUUCUGCCUGGCGUCCCAGGGCUGCAAAGAGUUUCCUGAGGUUCUUCUCGCUGCAAAUGCUCGGUCUCCCUGCAGCUAAGCUUCUCAUCCAAUAGUAAGCGGCGUCCAGUUUCCUCUUGGUAGACGCCGCCAACAAGGCCAGCUGGUUGUAGGGCUGCGGGUCUGAGGGAUCAAGCUGCAGAGCUUGCAGGUACCAGCUCCGGGCUGUGCCAAAGUCUGCGGAGCCCUGGGCUUGCUGCAGGUGCCGAUCGAGAUCUCCCAGGCACAGGAGCAGCUUCUGGCCACAGGCCAAGGCCGACUUCAAGGGUUCCUCCGAGGGCUGGUGUCCAAAGGCCGACCCACGAGUGGGGGGCUCCCGCAGCUGGAACCGGUAUCGCUUCUGGAGCUUUUCCAGCAGACUCUCCAAGAACGGGGUGCCCUCGUCCAGGACGGCCCAGAACCUGGGGGCGACGUGCUCUGGGGGCAGAGCACUGGGCUGCUGCAGGAGGUGCCCCAGCUUCUCGAUCACCUGGUGGAAGGCGUGCUUCCAGAGGCGCUGGCUGACGCGGUGCUCCUCCGAGAACACCACGUCGGCCAGGAUGACCCUUUGGUAGUGACCCAGCAGCUCGGCCCUGUGCCGAGCUGCCUUGUCCAGGUCCUCCCGACUGACCGCGGGGCCGGACAGCAGGCCGGCCAGCUGCGCUUGUCGCUCGCCCGCCAAAGAAAGAAUGUGACGCAGCACCUGCGUCUUGCAGUCGCUUCUAUCCCCUUCUGGCUUCUGGGGGGAAGGAAGGCGGCGGCAUCCAGGGUCUGGGGCUCCCGCGGGGCUCCAGGAAGCCCAGGGCGUCCAUGCCCGGAAAGCUGCCGCCUUGGCGGACAGGGCUUGGCCCUGGCCUCCGUGGUGGCGAAUUGCCAGGCCGAGGCCUUCAAACUCCCGCUGAGAGGCCGUUUUCUCCUUAGGCUCGGAUGGCGUGGGUACCAUGUCUCCCACCUCCCUCUGAACCUUCCCUCGGGCCUUAGGUUCCCGGCUCAUCCUCCCCAGGACAAGAAGCAACAGGCUAAGGAAAGGAGAGUGACAGGGCUACAGUGGCGCGGGGUGGCGCGGGCCGAGACGGCUGGAGUCUGUCUGGCUGGGUUGGGCUGAAGAGUGCUCCCCCCGGAUGGGAAGAGCAGGCGCAGAAAGCCCCCCAAGCGAUCUAGCUGCCAAGGGCUGGGGUCCCCGCUACUUACCCAGAUAUUCGCCAAGCUCACCUUUCUGGUACUCCGGGCUGGAAACGCCAAAAUACCGCAACGUCCAAAGAGCAAGUCUGAACACGUCCGAUCUGGGCGCUGUCUAGC
rnacentral:lncRNA from 1 species